rnacentral:lncRNA from 1 species
AUGGUUAAUAAACGGGUUACGGGGAGAGAGAGGGCAGGGAAGGCCUUGGGGAGGGAAGGACAAGCUGCCACCCACCCCAGGCCGGGUUCUUGGAGGGCUCUGUACAGGAGAAAGGAUGCACAGGAGGGACACUGUCUUCAGGGGGCUCUCUGGAGCCACGCUGCCUACGAAAAAUAUUUACAUGCAUUUGCCACGCUGGGACCGGGGGGCAUUGAGCUGCCAGGUGGGCACCUGGGAGAUGCCAGGGCUGUCAGUCCUCAGACGGCAACUCCGGGGCCCAGUCUCGGCGUCUCUGUAAAUCUGUACACAGUCUGUGGGCUUCUAUUUACAGGCUGGAGGCCUAGGAAGCAGGUCCAGGGUGGUGGCUGUCAGAAGAAACGCAGGAGAGCCGAGGUGGCGGCCACUCCUGCCCCGAGAAGCAGAGAUGAGUCUGCCCCCUGUGCCCAGGGCCCCAGCCCUGGAGGACUGGACAGAUGGCUUUGCCAACCCCAGGGGGGUCCAGCCUGGGCACCCCAAGCCACUGCCCGCAGACCCGCCCGGCCCAGCCCUGGCUACCAUCCACCCACCUCCAGCGAACAAGGGGAGACAGCCCGGGUUCCAGAAGUCACAGCUGGGGGUGGGCCCAGCCCCCAACUUCCUAGGCCCCAGCCCACCUCAUGCUCUCCCAUAGCCGAGGCCCCAGAGAUUCACAAGCUAUACAAGCUCCUCCUUUGGAAUCAGCCGUGCUUCCAGGAAGUGCCAGGGCCCCAGAGGACCCCCUCCCCAGGAGCCCUACGGAGUCUGGGGACCUGCAUGGGCAGCCUUGCACACAUCACACAACGCGUCAGGCAGGGUGAGGCUCCACACCCACACUGUACCUACGAGAGCGCCAGCUCGCCCUUGUAACCGACCUCGCUCUCUUGCAUCGCCUUGCCUGAGCUGGGCUGGCCGGACUGUGUUAAACUUCAUGAGGAUAAAGCCUGGACAUUUGUCUUGGGUCCAAAGCUCUAUGAACAAGGCCCUCGGCCUCGGCCUCAUCUCUCAAAUGCUAAGGACACAGACAAGAGGCCAGUGCCAGGAGGCGAAGCCCCAGGCCCCAGGUUAGAAACCAGCCCUCAGGAUGCAAGGAGCCAGGCCUGCUGGGGCCAGGCUGGACCCAGGCAGGCCCUUCCAAGCCCACUCCAGCCAGCCUAAACCCAGCUCAUCCAUCCUGUGCUGGACCCACCCCCACCACAGGCUCCAGCCCCAGGCAGAAGCCGCACCCACUGCUGGGUCUCCUACCCUGUCCCAGCAUCCCUGGACUGUCCGGGUCCUCUCUCCUCUAUGCUCCCUGGUUUCUCAGCCUCGGCCUGCCCAGGCCUUCUCACCUUAGCUGCUGUCCCCACGACAGUAGCCCACCAGGGGGCAGGGGAGAGGGAGGCUGGGACUUUGGUCUCCCCCAUGCCCAGCCCUUCUGCUCCAGGAAUGACUGAGGCCAGGCCACGCCAACAGAUCCUGGGCCCAGGAGGCCUCCUCCCACUCCCUCCCUCCCAAAGGCUCGAACCGGCUAGUCUCAACAGCAUCCAGGCCCUGCCAGGAAGGGCGCUGGGCCUGAAAAAUGGAGCCCAGCCUAGAAGCAGGACAGGUGGAAGAGGCAGGCCGUGGAAGCUCCCUGGAACCUCCCCCUCACUAUCUCAGGCACCCCCGCCCCUUCCCCUGCACAAGUCUGUUGCCAGGGACUCUUAAAAAGGGAACAGAAAUAAAACCUGGGUUCCUGACUUUCA